ensembl:miRNA gga-mir-1746 gga-mir-1746
GGAAAUGAGCUGCCCCAUCCGUUGGUCCUCAGAGCUGAACAGCCCCAUCCAUUGUUGCUCAGAGCUGUGGUCCCAUGGUGGUGUACGUGGACGCACUUCC